UUUGUUUCUUUGUUUCUUUCUUUUUUUUUUUUUUUACUUAAAGAAGAAGCAACAUUCUUUCAAUUAAACAUUGUGGAGUGGUCCUAUGCGUCUGCAUCUUUGUUCCCCUGAGAUCCUGGUAAAGGGAUGGAAGGAAGAGAGCACCAUACAUGUCUGGAGGCUUGAGGAGGAGGACUGGGUAUCUUUUCUGACUCAUGGAGGAAAGGAGAUUACCCUCUCCAAAGUGGAAAAGAAAUUACCCUCUCCAGAGUGGGAAUGGGACUUAGACCAUCAGCUGUCUGGUUCUCAGAAUGAUGCUGCUGGCUCCCCUGGGUCCCUAACCUUCCAGGUGGCAGAUGUGGGACUUCUCUACCAUAACUAGGUGAGCCAACGCCUUGUUAUAAGUCCCUUUAUAUAUUAAAAG
rnacentral:lncRNA from 1 species